UAAGGGCGCCUCCCUUAGUUGGAGGCUAAGGCGCCAACCCUAGGGGCGCCUCCCUUAGGAGGAGGCUAAGGCGCCAACUCCAUGGGCGCCUCCCUUAGGGGAUUCACUAGGGCGCCAACCCCAUGGGCGCCUCCCUUAGGGGGAUAUGAAGGUGCCCUAAAAUUUCAAGGGAUGCGCCAACUCCCCCGGCGCAUCCUCUCCCAAACAUGGUUAUUUUGGAAA
rnacentral:lncRNA from 1 species